rnacentral:lncRNA from 1 species
GCCGGACCCCUGCCCCAGGCUCUCAGCAGGACAGCCGGACCCCUGCCCCAGGCUCUCAGCAGGACAGCCGGACCCCUUGCCCCAGGCUCUCAGCAGGACAGCCGGACCCCUGCCCCAGGUACUCAGCAGGACAGCCGGACCCCUACCCCAGGUACUCAGCAGGACAGCCGGACCCCUUGCCCCAGGCUCUCAGCAGGACAGCCGGACCCCUGCCCCAGGUACUCAGCAGGACAGCCGGACCCCUUGCCCCAGGCUCUCAGCAGGACAGCCGGACCCCCUGCCCCAGGCUCUCAGCAGGACAGCCGGACCCCUGCCCCAGGCUCUCAGCUGGACAGCCAGACCCGCCCCAGGCUCUCAGCUGGCGGUCAAGGUCUCCUGCUUUACUGAUAAACUUGUCUCCAGGGACCCACACCCCCUGCCCAAGGGCUCUUGAUCCUGGGCAGACUUAGAAGCAGUGCAGGGCCUCAGUGUGGGCCCUGAGCCUCGGGCUCUAAAGGGUGAAUGGCACGUUCACACCAUCGUCUUUCCUGGAAACGACAGCGCCUGCCAUUCAGGACAUUACCCAGCCCCCGGCCUGAUAGCCCAUGACUCUCCGGUUCAUAACACAAAAUCACACUUUUCAUCAAGAAGCUUGUAUUCUCCAGAUAAUUCAAGAAUCCACACAGCAAAUCCAGCACAGACUGUUUGCUUCCCAACACCCAGACACAUGUGCCUGCAAAUUCCUGAUGUUACGAAGACCUGCCCCGGAGAGGGGAGGCAUCGCCCCAGAAAACCCGUCCACAGCAUCUGUCGACCAAAAGAAGAACCGCCAGAGUCCAGGGAAGCAGCUUGCCGGGAACCUGCCAGGUUUGCAUCGAAUUCCCCGAGUUCCGGAAACCCCGUCCGUCCCAGGCAAACAGGCACCGUGGGUCACCCUUCCGGGACCCACAUUCGCGCCAGGCCUAGGUGGAGGCCUUGGCCCUGGGAAGGAAGGCUGACCAGAAGCCUCGGCACCCUGCCCCCGCGGCCACGUGUGGACGCAGAGGCCUCUUGGGCGGUGAAAGGCUGCUCCUGAAGGCGUUUCUGGUUUUUCCAUUUAUAAAGCAGAGUGAGGUUAUAAAUCAGAAAAGUGUUUACAGGAGACACACAGCUGGCAAUAACAGCUUUGAGGGGCCACUGCGUCUCUGUGACUAUUUCAUCUUCCACGCCAACUUAAACAUGAGAAAAAAAGGCUUUGCAGCCCAGGGCCCCGCUGCACGGCCCAGCAGAUCGAGAGCAUUUGCAAUAAUUCAUAGACUUCUCACUUUCAUUUUUCUGCCGCCCAGGAAUUACAUUCCACUAUUAAAAUGCGCUGGGACUGCCUGGCCCGGCCGCUCCUGCGUGUUCAGACACAGGUCGGGCGAGGACCCUGUGCGGCCCCAAGCGGACCCUGCUGCGGCUCCGGGGCCGGGCGCUUGCCCCCUGCUGGACACACGGUGCACUGCAGGCAGCCCAGAGGGCCCUCCCCGCUCUGCGGGUGAGAAAAUCCCGAGACAGGCGGGUUUCCUCUGAGAUGGCCACGGUUCCAGGUGAGAAAGCAGGCGGGAGGGAAGAAGCUGGCGUCCAGGCCCCUGUGCAGUCACAUCUGGUCCUCUGCGGCCCGUUCCUGUUCUUGGGAUGCUGGCGGGGGCACUGCCCCAGCUCAGGGGCACAGAAGACCCAGAUGGGUGCAGGCAGGAAGGCCAGCUUGGUCGGGGUGGUGGGGGGGGCCUGGGCCAAGGCCAGAGCCGGGACAGCCCCCAGGUGUGGUCGGGCCUGGACCUUCCCUACUGCAGACCCAGUGGGUCCCACUCGCCUUCAGUCGAGGCUUUGUCACCUCAGGGCAAGUUGAGGGCAGAGCUGGGACUCCCCAGAUACUGCCUGAUCUGCUCUCACUGACCCAGCCCCAGAGCCCCAGGCAGGAGGGAUGGGCAGGGCCUGAGGGACAGGUCUCUGUGGUCCUCAGAGCCUCACCCAUUCACAGUCAGGCAUGGGGCCAGAGAAGGCCGUGCUUCAGUGGGACCACCCACUGAAGGCCGAAGGCCGGUGCCAGCCGUCCCCACAACAGGACCCGGAGGCCUCUCUGCCCCAUCCUCCAGAUCCAGCCUCUAGUGUGCACAAGCUGAGAGGGGAUGCUGAGGGCAAGAAGGAGCGGGACUUGGGUGUCCUGUCCCACACGCCCCCGAGGGGCUGGCAGGGGAGGAUGGGGCAAGAUGGUGGAGCUUGUCAGGGGAGAUGGGGAGCACAUUUCAGCAGCUGUGCUCUUCUGGGACAGCACAAACUGUCGGGGAGAAGAGUGAUGGCCGGCAAUGCCCCUGGGCAGCGAGGGGUCCCGAGUCCAGGGGCUCAAAUGCUUCGGGGCACGGUGACAAUGCCACCUCCUCCAGGAAGUCUCCCCAGACUGCACUGCCCAGUGGUGACUCUGAGCUGACUGCACCUCCCCUGAACUCCCGCCCUAGGAGCAGCCACUCUCCGGCUGCAUGACUCUCUAAGACUCGGGAGGUUUGGGGCGCAGUCCCAGAGGUUUUUCAGGAAACAGCCACUAAAUGGAUGAAUGAAUGAUGAAACCUGCUGCUCAAGGGCUGCAGACCUGGGCUCUCCCUGCACUGCCCGGGCCCUCAGGGCUGCACCACCCAGGCUGGGUCGGGCCACACACCCCAAAAGGGCCCUGCCAAAGCCCUCCCACCCCAGAAACAGAAGAAGGGGCCGGCGGCCACCCCUGGGCCCAGCCCCGGCCUCCCCUUGUAUGCCCCCAGCCCCCCACCAAUGCCCUCCCCUGCCCCUGGUGGGUCAGAGAUCUCCUGGAGGCUACAGGGAGCAAAGGCGAUGCCCGCAGGUGGCGAGCGUGUUCUCAGGAGCAGGUGGGCAGGGGCCUUGCAGACUCUUCAUUUCUUCCUUCCCUUAUCACCGUUAGCCAUUUUCAUGGGAUAGAGAUACAGAGGAGCUCCCAUUACAAAGCGCCAUUAAACUGUCGUCUGUGCAACUGUGUGUGAAGAGGCAUCGGAUAACGGUCAGGGCUGUGCACGCCUGAGUUGCUGGCCCUGCACCCGGCCCAGCACUCCUAGAGAGAGGCCUCACCUAGAGAGACAGGCCUUCUUCGGCACCCAGCACCACUGCCCACCCCAGCCUGCCCCCCUAAAUGACACUCACUGCCUGGGCAGGACAGCCCCGGGGCCCAGCACACCAGGAGGGCUCCGAACCCGGCCAAAGGUGGUGGGAAGACAGAGGAACCGUGAAGAACAGAUGAUAGUACAGGCUGGGGAGAGGGGGCUGGUGUCCCCAGAGGCAGGGCCACCCCCCCAACAGUUGAGGGGGCCACCCACUCACGGCGCCAUGGCCAGUGCAGGGCCUGGAGUCAGGCCAAGCUCCCGUCUGCCCCAGCUUGGCAUUCAGACCACCAAUCCAGCGGCCACAGGAGUGAGGUGUAGCCCCAGCCCCUGGCGCUAGAGGGAAACUGAGGCUGGGGUAGGGGACCAGAGGUGAAGCAGGCCUAGACCCCACCCCGUCUCCAGGGGGAAGGAGCUGUCCUUGGACCCACCAUUCCCCCUCAGUGUGUCUAAGGGCCAUGGGGAUUUAGGAGCCCCAGGGGCAUGGCUGGGGUGGACGCUCAAGGCUGGGAGGAGCUUCUUAGGGUCCCCAGGGUCCACUCCACCUGGCCAUGCCCAGCCCACAGGUGCUCAGGCCCCAGGCCAGGGCAGACUCAGUAAAGAGUCCGGUGGGCAGGUGGGAGGUGGGAAGGGGGUGUCACGGCCCAGUGUCUGGCCUUUCCAGGGAUGGGGACCAGGCCUUGACGGAGGCUGGAUGUGGUCAGGUGGGGCCUGGGCAGCAGGGCAUGACUCCAUGGGGGGCACAUGUGGCACCUGGCAGGAGGUGGAGCUGCAUCUGAGCAGAGCACACAGGAGCCUGUGUCCCUGCAUGUGGGUUGGUGCCCAUGAGGCCAGCACGUGCCUGGAGCAGCCAAGCGGGUUCCAGGACUCAAGAGGCAGCCAGGCUCAGCGAGCAAGACAAGGUUGCCUCCUGAGGACAGAGGAGGCCCAGCCAACCCAACAGAUACCCCCAGACAGAAGGUCCCAGACUCACCUAAGAACCCCCAGACAGAGGGUCCCAGACUCACCUAAGACACCCCCAGACAGAGGGUCCCAAGCUCACCUCAGAGACACCCCCAGACAGAGGGUCCCAGACUCAGCUAAGACACCCCCAGACAGAGGGUCCCAGACUCACCUGAGAAAUACCCCCAGACAGAGGGUCCCAGACUCACCUAAGACACCCCCAGACAGAGGGUCCCAAACUCACCUCAGAGACACCCCCAGACAGAGGGUCCCAAACUCACCUCAGAGACACCCCCAGACAGAGGGUCUCAGCCAACCCAACAGACACCCCCAGACAGAAGGUCCCAGACUCACCUAAGACACCCCCAGACAGAGGGUCCCAGACUCACCUAAGACACCCCCAGACAGAGGGUCCCAAGCUCACCUCAGAGACACCCCCAGACAGAGGGUCCCAGACUCAGCUAAGACACCCCCAGACAGAGGGUCCCAGACUCACCUGAGAAAUACCCCCAGACAGAGGGUCCCAGCCUCACCUGAGAAAUACCCCCAGACAGAGGGUCCCAGACUCACCUAAGAAAUACCCCCAGACAGAGGGUCCCAAACUCACCUAAGACACCCCCAGACAGAGGGUCCCAGACUCACCUGAGAAAUACCCCCAGACAGAGGGUCCCAGACUCACCUAAGACACCCCAAGACAGAGGGUCCCCAACUCUCAGGCACCCCUUCAUUCACCCAGCUGUGACUGGUGGGCCUGGAGCCCAGGCCCAGGGCAGGUGCAGUGAAGACCCCGCCCAGACCCAGGUCCCCACACACACUGGCCACACCCCUGCCCUGGGCAUGGCCUGGGCCGAGCGGUGGCAGAGGCUGCUGUCCAGGAGGCUUCGUCUAGCAGCUCCAGAGAGCUGGGCGCUGAGUGCGGCCUGCUCACCCCCUCUCCUCUCUCCUCCCUGAGAGUCAGUGGGAGGUGAGGGGAGAGGGCCUGGGAGCCAGUGGCCAGGGUCAAAGCCCAGCUCAGCCACCGGGCAGCCAGGGCCAGUCCCUGACGAAUGAGGGCCACCUGGCCCGGCCACUACAAGGGUGGGGGCAAGGGUGGGGUCAGCACCCUCGCGACGCCCAGAAAGGCCACUAAGGAAGCCGCAGAGCCCAGGCCACCGAGCACAGCGGGGAGAGGAAACUGCCUGGCCCGAAGGAAGGGAGCGAGCGGUCCAGGGGAGGCACCGUCCAGGAGCCAGCGCCCGGGGCCCCUCCGCAGGAUCAAAGGCUGUCCAAGGGCACGGAUGCCUCCCCACUCCCACCCGGGUGCUCACCGACGCGCCCGCUCAGAAAUACAAUAUUUGUAGGGUCUUUUUCAUAAAGGUCUUUAUGGGUUUGGAAAUUUAAACACCACGGAGCCUGAGUUGAAUUGGAAAGCAAACGUCUCUAAGCUUGUACAUCUUAGAGCAAAAAAAUUCAAUUAAGUGGGAUUUUAGCUGUUUCAAUAAAAUUGGACUCUCCCUCUUCAAGAUAAGAGCUCUGUGGCGUAGAAGCACCUUUAUGUGCCACGAGUAUCCACUUCUCCGAAACGCGUAAUCCCGGCUCAGGACACAAUGCCCACAACAGGAAAUCAAUGCAUAGUCGAAUCAAUUUGAAAAUAUAAAAUAAACUAAUAUAUGAGUGGAAAAUUGACUUCCUAUGGAUUAAAAGCAGCACAAAUAGUAGAAAAAUCUAGCUUUUUAGCAAAAGGAAGCAGGUUGGGGGGCGGGGUCUGGGAAGGGGCCCGGGAAGCCCUCGGUGCUUGGAGGAUGGCACUGGGGCCUAAUCUAGCCGAGGAGAAUACGGGGCACCCGGUCCGAGGCUCCAGGGCUGCCAGGCGGUACUGAGCCUCGAGGCCCCCGUCACCAGCGCACAUAAAUGCUGCUGGCAUAACCAUUGAGUGGAAGAGUUGAUAACGG